rnacentral:rRNA from 1 species
GACAGAGGCCUCAAGCGUUAGGCGGAAUCACUGGGCUUAAAGCGUGUGUAGGCGGAUGCCUAAGUACCUUGUGAAAUCCCACGGCUCAACCGUGGAACUGCUGGGUAUACUGGGUGUCUUGGGCCAUUCAGGGGCGACUGGAACAAGCGGUGGAGCGGUGAAAUGCGUAGAUAUCGCUUGGAACGCCGAAGGUGAAAACAGGUCGCUGGGGAUGUGCCGACGUGAGACACGAAAGCCAGGGGAGCAAACGGG